AGUGAACGCUGGCGGUAGGCCUAACACAUGCAAGUCGAACGGCAGCACAGUAAGAGCCUGCUCUUACGGGUGGCGAGUGGCGGACGGGUGAGGAAUACAUCGGAGUCUACUUUUUCGUGGGGGAUAACGUAGGGAAACUUACGCUAAUACCGCAUACGACCUACGGGUGAAAGCAGGGGAUCUUCGGACCUUGCGCGAUUGAAUGAGCCGAUGUCGGAUUAGCUAGUUGGCGGGGUAAAGGCCCACCAAGGCGACGAUCCGUAGCUGGUCUGAGAGGAUGAUCAGCCACACUGGAACUGAGACACGGUCCAGACUCCUACGGGAGGCAGCAGUGGGGAAUAUUGGACAAUGGGCGCAAGCCUGAUCCAGCCAUACCGCGUGGGUGAAGAAGGCCUUCGGGUUGUAAAGCCCUUUUGUUGGGAAAGAAAAGCAGCAGGUUAAUACCCCGCUGUUCUGACGGUACCCAAAGAAUAAGCACCGGCUAACUUCGUG
rnacentral:rRNA from 1 species